rnacentral:rRNA from 1 species
UGACCUGGGCGGGCUGCUAUACAUGCAAGUCGAACGAGUUCUCGUUGAUGAUCGGUGCUUGCACCGAGAUUCAACAUGGAACGAGUGGCGGACGGGUGAGUAACACGUGGGUAACCUGCCCUUAAGUGGGGGAUAACAUUUGGAAACAGAUGCUAAUACCGCAUAGAUCCAAGAACCGCAUGGUUCUUGGCUGAAAGAUGGCGUAAGCUAUCGCUUUUGGAUGGACCCGCGGCGUAUUAGCUAGUUGGUGAGGUAAUGGCUCACCAAGGCGAUGAUACGUAGCCGAACUGAGAGGUUGAUCGGCCACAUUGGGACUGAGACACGGCCCAAACUCCUACGGGAGGCAGCAGUAGGGAAUCUUCCACAAUGGACGCAAGUCUGAUGGAGCAACGCCGCGUGAGUGAAGAAGGCUUUCGGGUCGUAAAACUCUGUUGUUGGAGAAGAAUGGUCGGCAGAGUAACUGUUGUCGGCGUGACGGUAUCCAACCAGAAAGCCACGGCUAACUACGUGCCAGCAGCCGCGGUAAUACGUAGGUGGCAAGCGUUAUCCGGAUUUAUUGGGCGUAAAGCGAGCGCAGGCGGUUUUUUAAGUCUGAUGUGAAAGCCCUCGGCUUAACCGAGGAAGCGCAUCGGAAACUGGGAAACUUGAGUGCAGAAGAGGACAGUGGAACUCCAUGUGUAGCGGUGAAAUGCGUAGAUAUAUGGAAGAACACCAGUGGCGAAGGCGGCUGUCUGGUCUGUAACUGACGCUGAGGCUCGAAAGCAUGGGUAGCGAACAGGAUUAGAUACCCUGGUAGUCCAUGCCGUAAACGAUGAAUGCUAGGUGUUGGAGGGUUUCCGCCCUUCAGUGCCGCAGCUAACGCAUUAAGCAUUCCGCCUGGGGAGUACGACCGCAAGGUUGAAACUCAAAGGAAUUGACGGGGGCCCGCACAAGCGGUGGAGCAUGUGGUUUAAUUCGAAGCAACGCGAAGAACCUUACCAGGUCUUGACAUCUUUUGAUCACCUGAGAGAUCAGGUUUCCCCUUCGGGGGCAAAAUGACAGGUGGUGCAUGGUUGUCGUCACCUCGGGCCGGGAGAUGUGGGGUUAAGUCCCGCAACGAGCCCAACCCUUAUGACU